rnacentral:lncRNA from 1 species
GGGACUCCAAGGGUUUGUGGCAUCCAUGUAGUACUACCUUGAAUCCUCUCGAACAGGCACAAUCUCACUUUGAGGUCCACUACCUGCAACACUGUGAUCGGUAGAAAAAAAUAUGCAGAAUAUAGUAUGAGUACGAGAUAAUAUUUACUCGGUAAGUAUCAAGUUUAACCUCGAUUAGGUAAUGACGAGGUUCAAGUUAUGAUUAUACUCGCUAAACGAAGAAGCUGUGCAAUAACUCAAAUACCUAGCAAUAAAAAUAUAAUGAGAUGUAGUACCAUCUACAUGACAAAAAAAAAGAGUUAUCAACUCAUCAUAAGUAAAUCAAGUUUGAAAAAUAAUUACUAGUCAAUAACAGAAAAUAGAGUAGCGUGUUGAAAACAACACAAAAUCAUGCAAAUGUUAUUACCGAGUGCUAUAUGAAUGCGAUAUACACCUGUAUAUACAUUAAAAUUAGACAAAUAAGGUCCAAAACUAAAGGUUAUUCCCUCACACAAGAUUAGAAAAGAUACUAACCUUAAUAAACUCAAACAAUCCUUUAAAAUAGCCUUUCCUAUAAAGAUAUCACCUUCUUCUAUCUCAAAUCUAGCAAAUAAAUAACUCAAUAAUAUCAAAUAAUGCUAUAGGAAUCAAUUCCAAAUAAUAAAGUCUCAUUCUUUACCCAAUUCCCAAAAAUUAAUAAACGUCAAUCCUGGACCCAUAUAGUCAAAACUAGAGUCAAAGGUAGAUCUCGCUACCUAUAAUCUCGUAAGUCCAGAUAUAUGAUUAGAUUCCAAAAUCGAGUCCAAAUCAACUCUCUAAUCCCCAAUUUUUAUUUUUCAAAAUAUAGUUUCAAAGAAAACCAAAAAUUCUCUUCCAUAUUCCAUAAUCUAGGUAUAAUAAUCCACAGAGAAACGAGAUAUGAUAUCAAAAUCAAUUAGAAAUCACUCACCAUCUUGCUUUGUGUGAAAAUCCUCUCCAACAACUUCCCUAUCUAAGUCUAGAGUUCAAAAUUUGAGAUAAUAGGUCAAUCCCAAAAUUCCCUCAAUAUAGUCAGUUGCAGAAGUCACAAUUGCGACAAGAAGUUCGCAAUUGAGAGCCUUGCAAAAGUGAAACAGGCUCCCUCAACUUCAAACAUUGCAAUUGCAACCAUGAAGCGAGCCACUUUGUCACGAGGCUAAGUUCAAUAAGCACCAUGAGGACAACUAGCUUAGCUAAAACGCUCUUGCCUAGUUUCAGUCCAAGUCGGAAACAACACAAAACGUGCUAAAAAUGGCAAAUAUACAAAGUCGAAAAGGAAAUAAAGAAAGGAACACAAACGUUUUUGGAGGCCAAGGCCAAUUUUCUGUUUAUAUUGAAGCAAAGAGAGAAAUUUAC